rnacentral:rRNA from 1 species
UACGUAGGGCGCAAGCGUUGUCCGGAAUUAUUGGGCGUAAAGAGCUCGUAGGCGGUUUGUCGCGUCUGCUGUGAAAACCUAAGGCUCAACCUUGGGCUUGCAGUGGGUACGGGCAGACUAGAGUGCGGUAGGGGUGACUGGAAUUCCUGGUGUAGCGGUGAAAUGCGCAGAUAUCAGGAGGAACACCGGUGGCGAAGGCGGGUCUCUGGGCCGAAACUGACGCU